UGGAAAGAUAAAUUGAAACAAUCAUAAAUAAAUGAAAAUGAUUACGACUAUCGCAAUAGCAAAUAUUCUACUACGACUAUAACACAUCGACAUCCACAUCCACAUCCAUAUCCACUUUAUACAGAUUAUAUAUUCUGAUGAAUCGGAACCCAUAUCAUUAAAGACAAAUUCACUCAAAACCACUAAAUAUUACACAUUCCUCACAUUCACGAGUAUGAAAAUCAUCAUCAAAUAAAACUCUCGUCUUCAUUUUAUGUCUGGAUAGUAUCCGAAUUUGAUCAACUGCCACAAAAUUUCACAGAAAUUACUCGCAACUCUCAAAAACACACAUUCAAUGCGCAUGAAGAGGCGGGAUCACAUUGAUAAAAAUAUAUCUAAAAGUAAACUUGUAAACCUCACCAAUUCAACAUUAUUUUUUAAAGAAAAUUGGAUAAUCACUAAUUUGAGAAACUAAAAUCGAAAAUCGAAAAUCGAAAUAUAUUGCAAAUAUACACUGAGAGAUAUUAUUGUGUUUAUUAAACUUUAUUUAACUCUAUUUAACUCUACUCUAUUGGAUAAAUGGAUGGUGUCCCUCCUACCCUCUUCCCCUUUACCCCUCUACCCCACCACUGCAUUUCGGGAUACAUAUAUAAAAGAAACUUAAUAUAAUAAUAUGGAUGCAGCUGUAUUUUUUACUAUACGGCAAAGUUAGUUCUGCAAAAAUUAAUUGGAUGCUACAAAUACUGAAAAGACAACGGUCCGUCAAAUUUCUGUACUUAACAUAUAAAUUAUUGGUAUGAUGUGUUUCAAGAGUAUUUGGAAUUUACACUGAGUGUUGUGUGAGAUUUAUGUUAAAUGUAAACGUUAAAUAAGAUUCACAAGUAAAUCUUAAUGAACGAAACGGGAGCAUUGAAUCCUGAAACCCCAAAAAAUCAGAAAUCGUACAAUCCUGUAAUAAUGGACUAAUAUUACUAACUAGUACAACUGAAAAUUAUAAUAUAAAAUAAAAAAAAUAUCUUAUAAGUACUUUCGCAAUUCACAACGGAAAGGAUUUACCAUAUAUAAUACCAUUUAAUUUUGAAUUUGAAAUAUUCAAACAUCAUCAGUUUGAGUACUGUUUCAAUUAAUAAGUUUAUAUUUGUUCGAAUUAAUUGUUGCUUUUGAACUUUUAACCAUAACCAUUAUGGUAAUUCAAUCAACCAUAAUGGAUCAAUUUUGGGUGUGUGAGCCAUAAAAUAGUACUUCCUGUGACUGUGGAAACGAUGAUAUGUGGUCCAUGUUCAAUAUGAAACUUAUUAAUACAUACAUAUUUUAUGAAAUGAGAUCUAUUUGUACAGCUUUCACAUAACGAUUCGAAAUAACAAACAUCUGACCAAAUCUAUAUGAAUGUUUUGGAACUAAUCUGACUAGUGAUUACAUCUGGUGUGAAGCAGUGCUUCUAUGCUGAGCUAUCGAUUCUUUAGUUGUGGAAUGCUCACUAAGCACCACUGUGAUUGUUUUCUGCAUUUAUGGAGUAUUCAAUUAGACAUCAUAACUACUUCAAUGAUUCAUUAUUUACGAUUGAAUUACUUUAGUUUUUUAAUGUUUUAUUAUAGAAAAGAAAUAUACCGAAAGAUU